rnacentral:rRNA from 1 species
AUGUCUUAGAACUGGUUCAUGAACGAAUCUGCGAACGGCUCAUUAAAACAGCCAUAAUCUACUCGGAUAAGUAUCCAAACGGAUAUCUGCGAUAAUUUUGGAGCUAAUACGUGCCUCGAGUCUAUGGCCGAAAGGCGUAGCGCACUUAUUAGAACAAGACCAAUCGUGCUUGCACGUUUUGGUGACUCUGAAUAAUUCGCUGAUCGCAUGGUCUUGUACCGGCGACGUACCGUUCGAGUGUCUGCCUUAUCAACUUUCGAUGGAAGUCUACGUGACUACCAUGGUUGUAACGGGUAACGGAGAAUCAGGGUUCGACUCCGGAGAGGGAGCCUGAGAAACGGCUACCACAUCCAAGGAAGGCAGCAGGCGCGUAAAUUACCCACUCUCAAUACGAGGAGGUAGUGACUAUCAAUAACGAGACAGAUCUCUUUGAGGCCUGUCAUCGUAAUGGGUACAAUGUAAACCCGUUAACGAGGAUCUAUGAGAGGGCAAGUCUGGUGCCAGCAGCCGCGGUAAUUCCAGCUCUCAUGGCGUAUAUCGUCAUUGCUGCGGUUAAAAAGCUCGUAGUUGGAUCUGUGCCAAUGGACGCGGUGCUUCUUGUAAGUUACUGUGAUCCUUGGUUUGUGUCGGUUUUCUGGCGUGGCCUUAACCGGCUGCGUUAGUGACUGGCGUGAUUACCUUGAAUAAAUCAAAGUGCUCAAGACAGGCGUUUCGCUUGUAUGCUUCUGCAUGGAAUAAUGGAAUAGGACUUCGGUUCAUUCUGUUGGUCUUGGAAUCGAUGUAAUGAUUAAGAGGGACUGACGGGGGCAUCCGUAUCGCUGCGUGAGAGGUGAAAUUCUUGGACCGCAGCGGGACGUCCAACAGCGAAAGCAUUUGCCAAGAAUGUCUUCAUUAAUCAAGAACGAAAGUCAGAGGAUCGAAGGCGAUUAGAUACCGCCCUAGUUCUGACCGUAAACGAUGCCAACUAGUGAUCAGGAUUCGGUACUUCUAACCAUUCCUGGGAGCUCCCCGGAAACGAAAGUCUUCGGGUUCCGGGGGUAGUAUGGUUGCAAAGCUGAAACUUAAAGGAAUUGACGGAAGGGCACCACCAGGAGUGGAGCCUGCGGCUUAAUUUGACUCAACACGGGAAAACUCACCCGGCCCGGACACUGUUAUGAUUGACAGAUUGAGAGUUCUUUCUUGAUUCGGUGGUUGGUGGUGCAUGGCCGUUCUUAGUUCGUGGAGUGAUUUGUCUGGUUUAUUCCGAUAACGAACGAGACUCUAACCUGCUAACUAGUUAGCCCAUACUCAAGUGGGCAUGACUUCUUAGAGGGAUAAGUGGUGUUCAGCCACACGAGAUUGAGCAAUAACAGGUCUGUGAUGCCCUUAGAUGUUCGGGGCUGCACGCGCGCUACACUGGAAAGAUCAGCGUGUUGCAGUCUACCUUGGUCGAAAGACCUCGGUAAUCCAUGGAAAACUUUCCGUGAUCGGGCUAGGGAAUUGCAAUUGUUUCCCUUCAACGAGGAAUUCCCAGUAAGUGUGAGUCAUCAGCUCGCGUUGAUUACGUCCCUGCCCUUUGUACACACCGCCCGUCGCUGCCCGGGACUGAGUUGCUUCGAGAAAUGUGGGGACUGUGGCAUUGGGGGUUCACCUCUGGUGCUGUGGGAACCAUACUGAUCGCAGUGGCUUGAACCGGGCAAAAGUCGUAACAAGGUGCGAUUAGGAGAACCUGACCGCGGAUCAUUGUCGAUGAAUACUUAUACAUAUAUCGCUUUGACGAACACUACAUGCGGACUCUCAACGGGCUCGCCGCAUUGUGGGUGUAUAAACCAAUUGAGCUCUUGUUGGUUGCUACAGCGUCCCUUAGGGGGUGCGUUAGGCGAUUGGUCGAGUUAGCCGUGGGCGCUCGUCUUAAGCUAGCAUUGAAGAGUACGCUUAAUGGUACCGCCAGCAAACCCAUAUACACAUAACCAUCACGAUUAAACGAUAAUGAACGUAGCAGGAGGCUUCGGCCGAAUGUUGCACAAUACAACUCCGGGUGAUGGAUCACUCGGCUCGCUGUUCGAUGAAAACCGCAGCUAGCUGCGAUAAAUAGCGCGAAUUGCAGAUACAUUGAGCGCUAAGUCGUUGAAUGCACAUGGCACCGAGCUCUCACGAGUUUGGUACGUUUGGUUCAGUGCAGGCUUGGAUAUAUGUGUUGAUGCGAAAGCUCAACUGAGUCGUGGCGCAACCGCUUCUUCUUGAGGCCUGGUUCCGUCAUUAGUUUGUGUGCUAAGGCAACAUGUUGGAGGCGCGCGUUGGCUUCUAACGUCCGAACACUGAUUGUUAGCAGUCUUGUGACCGUUUUGCAUUGCUGUGCUGUUCUUGGCAUGCAACGGUGCUACUAGUCAAGCUGUUACGAUUGAGUGCUUCUAGAGAAUAUCCUGCCUGAACUCAAGCGUGAUUACCCGCUGAACUUAAGCAUAUCAGUAAGCGGAGGAAAAGAAACUAACAAGGAUUCCGCUAGUAACGGCGAGUGAAC